GAAAGAACAAUCACCUCAAAGUGACGUAUCGACACGUUUGUUUUUCUCUGGCAAAUUUAGAUUUUCGUUUCAGCCUUCUUUCAGUACUUCUAUCGUUCCAUCACGUUAGUUUAGAUUGCAGUUGGUUUCUGGCAUGACUCCAAUAACAGCGAUGCCAUCUUUCUUGUUCUUCGCCUCAUCGAUGUCUUUGUACUUUGCAUUUCGGUGGACAAUGUGCAUUUCCACGUCGAAGCGCUGCUGGUUGAUGGAGUGCUCGGAACCGCGGGAACUUGGGGAUCCCCAGUGGAAGUGGAAUGCCUCGGCCACAUAUCUGCCUUUGAGCAGACCGCCGGUUAUGAAGGGUCGGUUGCCGUUUGCAGUUUCUGGUAUCUCCACGUGAGCUGCCGGGCAAUUAGUAGUAGCUUUCGUUCAAAUCAUAUUCGCCAUAUGCAUUGGCUAUCUUUCGAAAGACAACCCACCUGUAUGUCCAUUAUUGAGCAGGGUGAUCGGUCCCCUCAGCUUUACGUCAUAGUUUCCGAAUACGAUCCGCGGCAGUGGGACGAUUAGCGACUGCCGGAUGGUAUGACAAUAUAUUGUUAGUUGUUAUUAGUUAUUGAAAUAAAUUAGCCCUGUUCAGCGCUCCCA